rnacentral:lncRNA from 10 species
GCUGUCCCAUUACCUGUAGCGUAAAGUCCAAGUUUCUCAUUAUGAAAAGGCUUUUCCUUAUAUGGUCCUGCCCAUGGUCCAGUCAUGUCUUUCUUCACUUCUUGUAACAUAAUUCUCCUGUUAGACUGACCUAUUUGCAUUUCCUGGAACCUCCUGUGCUUGUCAGUGCCUUCACCUUUCCAUUUGCUCUUGCCUUAAAUGUCUGCCUGGUCAAAAUUCUGCUCAGGUAUCAUUUCCUCACUGCCCAUUUCCCAAAGAGUCAGCCACUGACUUCUCUGUACCACAUCUGUAUUUUAUUAUUGUGAAUGUCUCACGGUAGUGUAAUUAUAUAUGUCUUCCCGUUUCCACAUCUACAUCUAACAGAAGACAGUGCCUUAUUUAUUUUGGCUUACCAAUGUUCAGCAUUGAACCUGAAACUGUAUUGCUCAAAAAUAUUUAUUGCUGAACUUAAUUGGGUCACUAUGGCUUUCAGAUAGCUGAAAGGAAAGCAUCAGUAUAUUACAGUAGAAGUGGAAGUCAUUUCAAAAUCUUUGGAUGUAAGAGCAAAAUUUAGUAAAAUAUCAAAAAAAUUUAACACUGUGUAUUUAAUUACAUAUUAUGGGAAUACCAUGAUCUGUGUUUGUAUGCAUAAGAAUUAGACUGUGAAGCAGCAAAAUUUUAUAUCUUUGACUACUUAUGUGCAUAAAGUUGUAAAACUAAGAACUGAGACAAAUGUCUGAUAGUAGGGUGUGUGAAACUUAAAAAGCAGUGAAAAACAAGUAUUUUAUAAAUAUUUUGCAAAAAUUUCUUCAAUUUGUGUUUAUGUUUAAUAACAACAUUAAUUUAUUUUGUCAGGACUUUCCUUAUGCUCCACAUUCCAACAAUUACCAUCAUGUUUUAAAAUAAGCAAGGCAACUCUUCGUGCAUUGGAAAUUAUGAGAAAUCCUUGGAAAAUGAAAAGCAGAAGGGAUUAUGUUAAAGCCUUAAGCUAAGGCAAGAUCAAAUGAGAACCAAGAGGUUUAUUCUCCAGCACUUGUGAACCAGAGAGUCUCUGAGCUUGGAGAUUCCAGACAAAUGGGAUGAAGGGGUGCCAUGCACACUGAGGAUUCCUGCAGCCCCAUCCUCCCUGCCAGCUCAGAAUGCCAAGAGCCACAGGACACUUGAAUAUAUUCAGACCUACUAUGUUUCUCAGAGCAUUCUUCCUUGUGCAUGGCUCUGAAUCAUGUUUCAAGUGCUUGUACUCGGACCCUAUCAUCCACAAGGUAAAGAACCUGAGUGUCAGAGACGUCUCACAAGUACUAAGCAGUGAAGCUUGAUUUGAGUUCACUUCAGGCUGAUUCCAGAAAUAGUGAAAUAUAAUUCCUCCUCAAAUAAGCGAUACAAUUAGACCUCUAGUUUGUUGGUAAUAAAAUUUUGAAAGUCUGUCUUUGGCCUUUUUCUCUCCCCUGGGACUCUCUCAUCCAGGCCUGGUAUCUCCCUGAGUGCUGUAUUGCAAUAGCGGCCCACUCAGCAUCUUUAUAUGCAUGUCUAAGAGGUCUCUGAAACCCAAUGUGCCCUAAAACUCCUGAUUUUUGCCUCCUAAUUCCCCACACCACACUUUCCCUCCCUCAGUUUUCCUCCUUUUAGGAAAUAGCUAUCUAAUAGCUCAACUUCAAAAAUGAAGAAGCUGCUUUCAACUCCUUUGUUUUCCUUAUUCCCAUAAUUAGUCAAUCAGCAAUAAUGUCUGUCAUGUUUCAAAAAUAUUCACUGGCUUCUCUUCCCUUCUACUAACUGACCAAAUCACCAUCUGCUCUCACCUGAAUUAACACAAUCACCUCUUACUUACCACCUUUCUCUGUGUCCUUACCAAACUUGACAGUGUAUUCGCCAAAAGGCAGCCAAAGUUAUAUUUUUAAAAUAGAAAUUAAAAUAAAAUAAAAUAUAAAAAUAGAAAUCAUGCUGUUUCCUUCUUAAAUCCCUCUAAUAUCCUUUUAUUUCACUUAUAAUAAAAUCCAUAAGCCUUAUGAUUUGCAAGGUCCUGAAUUAUCGGGCCUGUAAUUCUCCCCUGUCUUCUAUAAACACCAUUCCAACAACUCUGGCCUUUUUCUUUGCGUAGUACAUUGAGCUCCUUCUUUCCUAAGGGACUCUGAACUCUAUACUUUCCCUUUCUGUAGAUGAGCAUCUGCUCUGGAGCCAGGCUACCACAAUGUGAAUACCAGCUCCUCCAUUAACCCACUAUGAACAGUUCUUGACCUUUUCUCUGCCUCAGUUCUUUCAUAUGUAAAAUGGGAAUAGUUAUAAUACCUGUCUCAUACUGUUGUAGUAAAGCUUAAAUGAGUUAAUAUGCCAUUGGGAUUUUGAUAGGAAUUGCAUUGAAUCUGUAGAUCACUUUUGGGUAGUACAGACAUUCUAAGAAUAUUAAUUCUUCCAGUCCAGGAACAUGAGAUGUCUUUCCAUUUGUCUGUGUCUGCUUUAAUUUAUUUCAAUAUUAUUUUAUGCAUUUCAGGGUACAAGUUAUUUGCCUCCUUGGCUAUACUUAUUCCUAAGUAUUUUAUCUUUAAUGCUGUUGUGAAUGAAAUUGUUUUCUUAAUUUCCUUUUCAGACAGUUCCUUGUUAGUGUACAGAAGUGCAACUAAUUUUUAUAUGUUGAUUUUGUAUCCUGCAACUUUACUAAAUAUGUUUAUGGCAUAGGUUGUGGUGAUGAUUUCAUAAGUGUAUACUUCUCUCCAAGCUCAUCAAGCUGUACACAUUAAACAUGCACAGAUUUUAUAUGUUCAUACCUCUAUAAAGUGGCUUAAAAAUGAGUACAUGAGUCAAUAUACACUAGUACUUUCCAGCAAGGGAUAGUUGUUGUUAUUGGUGAAGAUUAUUAUUCCUUUUGAUCUUUGUGUGGGUGGUUCUUUCUUUCAGUUUUCAGCUUUCAGAGAUGCCUUCUUUGGCUAUUCUGUCUGUACUUGUCCCAUACUGGAAUUUCACACUAUUUUCUUCCUAACACUAUCUUCAUCUGAGAUUUUCUUACUUCUCUUAAUUUUUAUUGCUUCUUUCCAUUUUGAAUACAAACUCCAGGAGAGCAGUGGCACCAUG